AAUGGAUGGAAAUCUGAUCCAGCCAUGCCGCGUGCAGGAAGAAUGUCCUAUGGAUUGUAAACUGCUUUUGUAUGGGAGCAAUAAGGUCUUCGUGAAGGCCGAUGAGAGUACCAUACGAAUAAGCACCGGCUAACUCCGUGCCAGCAGCCGCGGUAAUACGGAGGGUGCAAGCGUUAUCCGGAUUUAUUGGGUUUAAAGGGUGCGUAGGCGGUUAUAUAAGUCAGCGGUGAAAUUUUUCGGCUCAACCGGAAACAUGCCGUUGAUACUGUAUAGCUUGAAUAUGGUUGCUGUGAGUGGAAUGUGUAGUGUAGCGGUGAAAUGCUUAGAUAUUACACAGAAUAUCGAUUGCGAAGGCAACUCACAAAGCCAUUAUUGACGCUGAGGCACGAAAGUGUGGGGAUCAAA
rnacentral:rRNA from 1 species